UACGUAGGGGGCAAGCGUUGUCCGGAAUCAUUGGGCGUAAAGAGCGCGUAGGCGGCCCUGUAAGUCCGCUGUGAAAGUCAAGGGCUCAACCCUUGGAUGCCGGUGGAUACUGCAGGGCUAGAGUCCGGAAGAGGCGAGUGGAAUUCCUGGUGUAGCGGUGAAAUUCGUAGAUAUUGGGAAGAACACCGGUGGCGAAGGCGGCGCUCUGGACCGAGACUGACGCUGAGGCGCGAAAGCGUGGGGAGCAAACAGG
rnacentral:rRNA from 1 species